rnacentral:tRNA from 1 species
AGGAGCGUGGCCUAAUGGAUAGAGCAUUGGACUUUGGAGUCAGAAGGGCCUGAGUUCUAAUCCCAGCUCUGCUA